UACGUAGGGGCAAGCGUUGUCCGGAUUCAUUGGGCGUAAAGAGCUCGUAGGCGGCUUGGCAAGUCGGGUGUGAACCUCCAGGCUCAACCUAGAGACGCCACCCGAUACUGCCAUGGCUAGAGUCCGGUAGGGACCACGGAAUUCCUGGUGUAGCGGUGAAAUGCGCAGAUAUCGAGGAGGAACACCAAUGGCGAAGGCAGCUCGCUGGGACGGUUACUGACGCUGAGACGCGAAGCGUGGGAGCAAACAGGAUAGAACCCUAGGUA
rnacentral:rRNA from 1 species